AGUGGGAUAACUGGGUCAAAUGGCAAUUCUAUUCCAAGUUUUCUGAGGAAUCUCCAUACUACUUUCUAGAGUGGUUACACCCAUUUCCAUUCCCACCAGCAAU
rnacentral:pre_miRNA from 1 species